ACGCUCGACACCUACGGGAGGCAGCAGUGGGGAAUAUUGGGCAAUGGAGGAAACUCUGACCCAGCAACGCCGCGUGAAUGAUGAAGGUCUUUGGAUUGUAAAGUUCUUUUCUAAGGGACGAAGAAAGUGACGGUACCUUAGGAAUAAGCCUCGGCUAACUACGUNCCAACAGCCGCGGUAAUCUGAGCGGGCUGGCAAGGC
rnacentral:rRNA from 1 species